UCUAAGCUAUGUUGGAAUGUCUGGAGACAACUGCAUUCCCAUUACAUCCAGAGGGUACAGAUUGGAGAAGAUUGCUUUAUAGCAUCUAAAGUUGGGUGUGGAUGUGGCAUGUAUUUUGCUGCAACAGUUAAAUAUAUUUCCUGAGAGAUUCUAAGCUACGGGUACGCUGAACCUCUUCCUCCCUCCCACAUCCAGCUCAGUUUCCUUCAAGCAUAUUGGAAGAGCAACUUUCAGAGUUCCUAUCUGGAAUCAAUACUGAAGAAUGCCAAAUUACACAAGACUGAUUUAGAUGGCACAGACCCUGGAUGUUCCACAUAUUCAAAAAUUAUCACCAUGAAAGAACCUUCACCAGUCAUUGGCAAAGUCUCCUAGAAUUUUCUACUAAACUGAUGCAGAGAUUAAUGAUCAGGGCUAACCAAGCCAGCCCAAAGAGAAUCCACAGAGAUACCACGUUCUUAUACCAGCCUGGAAACAAGAUUACAACCAUUUAAAUAACUUGAAAAGUAAGGAACACCAUUGGAGUGAAGUUAAAAUAAGCUCCUGAUGAUAUUAUCAUCAGCAGAUCAAUCCUGUUCCAGCCUACAUAUGUAAUUCCAAUUUAAGAU